UAACAGCUGAAAUAGCAGGAAAUAAUACAGUUAAAGAGCAGAUUGUAGAAGAAAGAAACCCCUGGGUUAAACUGGUCUGUCUACUGCAUAAUGCUGAACUCUAACAUGUGUCCUAAGGGAAGGACCUGAUUGGUGUCCAGAACCUGCUGAAGAAGCACCAGGCUCUGCAGGCUGAGAUCACAGGUCAUGAACCUCGCAUCAAGGCUGUCACCCAGAAAGGAGAGACCAUGGUGGAAGAAGGUCACUUCGCUGGUGAGGAAGUGAAGACUAAACUGUGGGAGCUUCAUGGACGUUGGGACACGCUGAAGGCCAAGGCGUCCCAGAGGAGGCAGGACCUGGAGGACUCUCUGCAGGCCCAGCAGUACUUUGCGGAUGCUAAUGAGGCCGAGUCCUGGAUGAGGGAGAAGGAGCCCAUCGUUGGAAGUCCAGACUAAGGGAAAGACGAGGACUUGGCCGAGGCUCUCCUGAAGAAGCACGAGGCCCUGAUGUCGGACCUGUCGGCUUACGGCAGCAGCAUCCAGGCCCUGAAGGAGCAGGCCCAGUCCUGCAGGCAACAAGGUGAUCAGCAGGUGCUUUUGUCCUGCAGGACCUGAAGGCCAACGAGUCCCGCCUGAGGGACAUCAACAAGGUGGCAUCUGAACUGGAGUCAGAAGGUCUGAUGGCUGAGGAGGCUCCUAUGGUUCAGGCUCAGGUGAGCGUCACCUGUCUGCAGCAGCUGGUCCCUCUCACUUCCUGGUUUAACUCUGCUCGUCUCUGUUUGUAGCAACAAGAACAUCUGGGUUCUGCUCCUGGAAAGGAUGAAGCCGACUCUAACACGGCGUCACCCUGGAAGACCGUACGGUUGGGCGUUCAGACGACGGCUAACUUUAAUUCCAUCAAGGUAAGAGGAAGCUCUUCCCUUCCUGUCUGAGCGAUCCGUCUCCAGGUUUCUUCGUCCGGCGUCCAGCCCGCUGGCGUCCACCUUCAUCUCACCUUCAUCUCAUCUCACUUCAUUUAUAGUGCAAUACUUUCACAUUAUCAUUUUCCCACACUUCUGUAUACCUGUAUUUUGUUGUUUUUCAAUAAAGAAUGACAAAUUAUUUAAGUUUGGUUUUUGUUGCACACAAAUAUAUAUCUGUAAAAAAAUAUCUACAAAGCUAAUGUUUACAUAACAAGUAUGAUUGGGUUUUGCAAUACGGCACUCAAGUUUAUUUUAGUAAGAUUUUCAAACCAAGUAAAGUUAGUAAAGAACACAUUUCUAUUGUCUGCUAAGAAACUGUUGGGAUUUAAAAUGGGCCUGUUGUACAAAUAACUUGUAAAUGAUUAUUCCUCACUUUUGUCUUAACCAAAGAAAUUCCAGUAAUUGAGCAAAAACAUUUAUUUUUAACACUACAUUUUAUAAAACAGGGCGCAAAGUGUCGGCACAUGUAUGUAAGUCGAUGGUCCGCCCCAACCAAACCAAGAGACACAGACGUCAGGGAGGCCAAGGUUGUCUCUGCAGCUCUCUGGGCACCACGCCUCACUCAGCUGUCUUCAAUGAUCCAAAUGGCUAUGGAGGAAAAAAUAACAGGUUUGGCCUAGCUGUUUAAAGUACAAAACCAUUCAUGAAGUGGUCAAGACAAGUACUUGGAACUUACACGCUGCGUUGUGUAGCUGACGUUGGAGACACACAGGCUGCCAUGGUGACCUUUUAAUAGAUCUAAGAAAAAAAUGUAAUAAAAGAAUGAAACUUAAAAACUCCCAGACCUCAUGUCAUAUUUACUCAUCAGCUAUGGCUGAUUUGUUUGGAUCACAGUGAGUUACACUAAUUCUAAUAUAUUUUUAUUUCUAUUAUACAUACAUACUUUUUAACUGUUAUUUUCACAUGACUGUUAUCAGGCUCUCUUGUUCUGGUUCUGAUGAUAACUCUGUGUCUUCCAGUAAGUUAUCUUGUGCUUACUUCAUCUGUAUAAUGUCUCUUUACUUUUGGUAAAUUGUACUGAGUCCAGAAUAAAGGCUAGUUGGCUGUACAAGAUACAAACAAGUAUUACGUUUUGGAAAUAUAUGAAACACCGCCAGCAUCUGUUAGAGCCUGUGGCGGGGUGCUGAGGGCCGGCUCCAGCCCAGGAAUGAGCUCUACACGCCGGCCGGGAGGGUUUGAAACACCGCCAUCCUCUCCUCUGCUGGCUGUAAAUUCUGUUAUGGUUACCGGUGCUUGUGUUGCAAUGUGAAACGCUUGGUCUCAGAUUUUGUAAGAAAGAUAAUAAAAUGUCCCCCCAAAAUACGA